rnacentral:lncRNA from 1 species
GAGAUAGUGAGCUGAGAUUUAACUCCGGGCCCUGAGUUCCAAGGCCAGGUUCUUCACGCCUUCCCUAGGGUCCUGGUUUUAUAAGCGUGUGCAGAGAUGAAGGCAGCUAUUUAUCUCCGGCCGACCAGAGGGCGCAGCUUCGUUCUACUCCUUUCUGUACCUGCCACAUUUUCCCCAGUGCACGGGUGUCCUCUCUGUCAUCGGAGAGCCAAACGGCCUCCUCCAUGAACAAGGAUUGCGAGGACGGCCUGCACUCACCAGGGCCCAGCUGUCGCCUGGCUGAGGCGCGGUUCAAAGGGAAGGGGAGGUUUUUGAUGGAAACGCGCAGGUAAACACAGCCCCCUCUCCCCUCUGCUCCCAGUCAAAGAAUUUGAGCUCAGAUCGCUGAGGAAGACUCUGGAAAGAGCACAAGCAGAGCAGGAGGCCCUGCAGAGGCAGCUGCUGGAGUUCCAGGACCGGCAGCAGAGGCUGGAGAUGGAGCUGGCCGGCCUGAAGACCUACGGGCUCAUCCUGGAGAAGGAGUUUGAGAACCUGAACCUGGCACUCAUGCUGUCCCACUUCGGCCUGCGAGUUGUGGACACGGCAUAGAUGCCCAUCCC